UACAGAGGAUGCAAGCGUUGUUCGGAAUCACUGGGCUUAAAGCGCGUGUAGGCGGAUCGGUUAGUGUCUCGUGAAAGCCCCCGACUCAACCGGGGAACUGCGGGGCAUACUGCCGGUCUUGAGGCAGGUAGGGGUGCGUGGAACUCUAGGUGGAGCGGUGAAAUGCGUAGAGAUCUAGAGGAACGCCGGUGGCGAAAGCGGCGCACUGGGCCUGUUCUGACGCUGAGACGCGAAAGCGUAGGUAGCGAACGGGAUUAGAUACCCCCGUA
rnacentral:rRNA from 1 species